UUAUUGUCACUUUCAAUGGAGCACUCACAUUCAACAGCCCCAAUCCCCCCAAGUUUCUACCUUUAGACCAUAAAGUUGGGACCUUGAAUGCAGAACAUGGUAAAGGUUUGAACUUGAAAGCAUUAAUGGUGUUUGAAGGUAAUGAAGGUCUAGGUUUAUGGUGGAUUUUGACGGCAGUGAAGGGUCUUAAACUACAUUCUGAUACAACCCAACUGGCCAUUGGAGGCUGAUGCUAAGUGUGUUCUGGGACGAGGUUCCCAAAGUUUCAGCCUUUAAAAAAAGGUUCCCAAAGUUUCAGCCUUUAAAAAAACCUUGGCCUUAGAUAAGAGGAGAGAGACAGAAGGAAAAAGUUGUAGCUAAUAAAGAAGAUAAUAUUAUGGGGUGCUAAAGGGCUUUGCUUUGCUACCUUACUGUUUGCAGCAACUUGUGUG
rnacentral:lncRNA from 1 species